rnacentral:lncRNA from 1 species
CUACUCGUCGGGGUCGGAUGUCCCUGGUGAGGCCAGCCAGGACAUCAAUGAUCCCAUUCCCCGCCGUCCGAGGAAGGAUCCCACUCGACCGUCCAACCCAGAGGGAGCUGGGGCGGCCAAGUGCCAGCAGCAAGCUCUGAAGCUACAACUUCACCUGAAAAGAGAAGCCACAAACAAGGCUGAGCUUCUAAGCUCAACAAGACUUAACCGACCGGUGGGAGAAACUAUUCCACCACGUCUAGACAUGCAAGGCUCUUUGGCUGAGGGGUUUUGUUUGCCAAAAGCGACUAUGUUAGGUCCUUGCUUUCAAAGUUUUAGCUCAGAUUCUAAGUUCAUUUACUAGUCUAUGUUGGCAACUUACA